AUUAACAUAAUAUUGCAACCUGCUGUCGAUGGGUGGGAUUCUGCAUAUUUAAAUACAUGCCAGAUAUGGGACUUCAACUUUAAGCUCUAGAGCCCAUGUAACUUGUGCUUGCAACUUCAAGGCUGAUGAGUCUCCGUUCAUAUGUCCCCAGGGCACAUAAUUCCAGCAUCUCAGACCUUCUGGAAUUUAAGAGCUUCAUAUAUUCAUCUCCCGCUGAAACACUUGAUUUAAGAAAUCAUACACUGUAUGGAAUGUUGAGCUGUGUGAUUUGAUCUUAUCAACGACUGUAAUUGACAGGCAACACUGAAGGUAGAAUGGAUGUGUCUUGCUCAGUCAGAUUUAGAGGAGUUAAGUCUGUAAAAGUAUUGUUCCCGUGAAUGACUGCAAUGUGUGUGGUCAUCGUAUAGAAAUUGUUUGUAUUUACUGCUCACUGACUUCACACAAAAUAUAUUUUUGUAUGUAUGCAUUUAUGCAGGAAAUGUUAAGCAUGAACAUAUAUUUGGAAUUAUUAUGAGAAACUGAUUUGAAAACACACGAGUGUUAUACUGGCACAGAGUGACAGUAUAAAUGCUUGCAAAUAAUCUUUACAUCCAACAACCAACAGUCUGGAUAGCCACAGAAAUUUUACUAGCAUGUCAGUUUGCAUUAGAGAUUAAUUGUUAAUGUUAAAUUUUGUUGAAUUGAAUAUUAAUUUUAUCAACAUUUAAGUCAUUGCUUGUACUGUUUCUGAGCCACACAUAACACUUUAACAAAGACACUGUUGAAUCAUGUACAUCUGCACUAAUAUAAAUAACAUAAUUUGACACGUAAGACAAUAUUAUUGUGAAUCCAAGGGAAUUUACAUGUUUUUCUGAUGUAACUCUUACUAUAGCAGGGACAAUAAAGGGCAUGCUAUGUCUCCUUUGUGUAAAAAGCCUCACCUGACUUCAUGAACAGAGGGC
ensembl:lncRNA